GAGAAUUAUCUAUAAAGUUCUUUAAAGGUGACAAGGGCUCUUUGGAGAGUUGCUGAUCUCUGAACUGUGUUUAAGAUUCAACCUGAAACUUGCCAUGCCAGAUGGCAGUUAUAAAGUCUUCCUGGUGUCAUUUGAGAAAGAACUUGAAAGGCACUACUGAUACAUGUUGAAUAGUGGUUUAAUGUAUGUAAAGUCCCAGGUUUUGUCUUCAAUGCCAUAAGCCAACACACACACACACACACACACACACACACACACACACACAUCAACACAAAAAUGAAAUGAAGUGAAACUUUAAAACUUAGAGACAAACACAAAGAGGCUUCUCUGGGCCAAAGGUAAGAUUGAUUGAGCAUCAGAAGGGUAAGAAAUGCAGAGGAGAUUGGAGAUGGCUCAGCACUCUUCCAGGGGACCUAACACCCACCAUCUGUAAUUCUAGUUUCAGGGGAUCCAACACCUUCUUCUGGCCUCCACAGCAUCAUGUACACGUGCAAUACAUAGACAUACAUGCAGGUAAACAUUUAUACACAUAAGAUAGAAAUAAAUCUCAAAACAAAACCUGUAAGAAUUCUGUAGGUUAAAACAUCAAAUGUGUUUCAGGUCUUUUUUUUUUUUUUUUUUUUUUUGGUUUUUUUUGAGACAGGGUUUCUCUGUAUAGCCCUGGCUAUCCUGGAGCUCACUUUGUAGACCAGGCUGGCCUGGAACUCAGAAAUCUGCCUGCCUCUGCGUCCCGAGUGCUGGGAUUAAAGGCAUGCGCCACCAUGUCAAUCUGUGUUUCAGUUUUUAAUGAUACCAAAAUAACAAUUAGUCAGGUUGAAGACUAUUGGAGAGCCAGCUCACUGUUCAGGGUGAGCACAUGUACAGUCAUAGGUUUUCAGUCAUAGGAUUUAUAAAGGUAGAAGUAUAGUCCAGUGUGUAAGCCUACAAGGAACAGCUGAGUCUAAGCAGUGGACAUCAGUGUCUGCAGGCUUUCCAUACCUCUUGAUAGAAGUGUGACCAGUACAUAGCAACAGAACAAUGGUGCCUGCGUCUAAUCAGACUGUAACACUUGCUUUGAGUUUAUCUCUUGCUUUGAGUCAACUCUUAGUAUCAGUAACCUACUUGUCAACCACAAGGCUUUUUGAAGCGAAGAGUAUCAGGCUCUAUCCCAGAGCUGUUGAAUCGAACCCAGCAUUUCCUCAGGUCAGGUGAUUAAAUCUGAGUUACAUUCUUUUACAAGCACACCUAAAUUCUUCUACGAAGAAACUAGAAGGAAAAAAAAUGAGAUGGAGGGGAAAACCUGUAAAGAAAAGAUUUAGAAAGCACACCAGUUGCCCACAAGAGCUUAUCUGGCACUCAUUUAGACAAACACAGAUAUUCAAAUUAUGAAACAAUUGGGAAAUAUAUUUUACUAUAAUAAUUAAAAAGUAAUUGGAGUGGUGGAGGAAAAUAGGGUAGAUUGGACAGGAUUGAGCAUAUCCUGUGAAUUGUUGAAGCUGGGUCAUAGGAACAAAGAAAUACAGUAUUCUAAUUUUGCAUUUUAAUCAUUUUUUUAUAACAACAAGAAAAGGGAGACUGACAAGAUAGUAUAGUCCUAAAGGUGAUGAUGUGCGAAUUGUAUGUUGCUGAUGGGAUGUAAAAUGGUGACUACUUUGGAAAAAGGUCUGAGUUCCUCAGAAGACUUAACCCAGCAGUUCUGCUCUGAGGUAUAUGCCCAAGAGAAAUGUAAGCAUUCAUGUGAAACUUGUGUUCUUGGCAAUAUUUUUCAUAACAAUGAAAACCUUGGAAACAGCUCAAAUGCCCACUGACUGAUUAAUGGAUACAUAAAAUGAGGUAUGGUAUAAAAUAUAAUGAAGUCUUAAAUCUACCCCAGAUAGAUGAGCCUCAAAAGCAUUAGAGAAAGGAAGCAGUCACAAAGACCAUUGUCUUGUUCCAUUUAUAUGCAUUGUCAAGGUCUUGUGAAGGAAAGCAGGGAAGUGUUUCUCAAGAUAGGGCUUACUUUGUGGGGUGAUGAAAAUAUUCUACAGUUGCUGGUGAUGGUUGUAUACUUCUGUAUAUGAAUAUACCAAAAUUACUGAAUUGUAUGUAUACUGUAACGGAUGAAUUGUGUGGUAUGCAAAUAUGUAUCAGUAGAACUUUCCUGAAAGGAGGGAGAACAUUAUACUAAGACUUGAUUCCCCACUUUGUCCAGGAGAAGUCAGACUAGGUCUUUGUGGAGCCAGGGAUGAGAAGCACUGUGCAAUGAAGAAAACUAUUGAGGAUUGUUAGAGGGGUAGGCUGUCUAUCGAUUUGUUCGCUUAGAGGGGAAGCCCAGAGAUGGUGACAUAAGGAAUUAAGGAUCUGCUGGCAGGAACUGUCAGUGUUUACCAGAAUACAGCCAGGCUGAGGGGACCCCUUCUUCUUCUCUGAGAGAGCUGGGAGUAAAUUUACACUACAGGUGUUCUAUGUGCUCACAAAUGCUGCAGCAGCAACAGUCCCCCUUCUUCCUCCUCCCCCAUCUCCAGCACCAUCUGGGGUCUCAUUCGCCUGACUUUCUAGCUUCUUACUCAAGGUGAAAGCAUACUUUGUUAGUCACAUUUUGGGAAUACCAAAUCAUAAUACAAAAAUAGCAAUCU
rnacentral:lncRNA from 1 species